rnacentral:rRNA from 1 species
AUUGAACGCUGGCGGCAGGCCUAACACAUGCAAGUCGAACGAGUGGCGGACGGGUGAGUAAUGUCUGGGAAACUGCCUGAUGGAGGGGGAUAACUACUGGAAACGGUAGCUAAUACCGCAUACCAUCAGAUGUGCCCAGAUGGGAUUGGCUUGUUGGUGGGGUAACGGCUCAACAAGGCGACGAUCCCUAGCUGGUCUGAGAGGAUGACCAGCAACACGGGAACUAGGACACGGUCCAACCUCCUACGGGAGGAAGCAGGGGGGAAUAUUGGACAAUGGGGGCAAGCCUGCUGCAGCCAUGCGGCGUGUAUGAAGAAGGCCUUCGGGUUGUAAAGUCCUUUCAGCGGGGAGGCGUUACCCGCAGAAGAAGCACCGGCUAACUCCGUGCCAGCAGCCGCGGUAAUUC